CCUACGGGCGGCUGCAGUGGGGAAUAUUGGACAAUGGGCGAAAGCCUGAUCCAGCCAUGCCGCGUGUGUGAAGAAGGCCUUCGGGUUGUAAAGCACUUUCAGUGGGGAAGAAAGCCUUGGGGCUAAUACCCUCGAGGAAGGACAUCACCCACAGAAGAAGCACCGGCUAACUCCGUGCCAGCAGCCGCGGUAAUACGGAGGGUGCGAGCGUUAAUCGGAAUUACUGGGCGUAAAGCGCGCGUAGGCGGUCUGAUAAGCCGGUUGUGAAAGCCCCGGGCUCAACCUGGGAACGGCAUCCGGAACCGUCAGGCUAGAGUGCAGGAGAGGAAGGUAGAAUUCCCGGUGUAGCGGUGAAAUGCGUAGAGAUCGGGAGGAAUACCAGUGGCGAAGGCGGCCUUCUGGACUGACACUGACGCUGAGGUGCGAAAGCGUGGGUAGCAAACAGGAUUAGAUACCCCAGUAGUC
rnacentral:rRNA from 1 species